rnacentral:rRNA from 1 species
AUUGAACGCUGGCGGCAGGCCUAACACAUGCAAGUCGAGCGGAGCGGCGGACGGGUGAGUAAUGCCUAGGAAUCUGCCUGGUAGUGGGGGAUAACGUCCGGAAACGGGCGCUAAUACCGCAUACUAUCAGAUGAGCCUAGGUCGGAUGAGCUAGUUGGCGGGGUAAAGGCCUACCAAGGCGACGAUCCGUAACUGGUCUGAGAGGAUGGUCAGUCACACUGGAGCUGAGACACGGUCCAGACUCCAACGGGAGGCAGCAGUGGGGAAUAUUGGACCAUGGGCGAAAGCCUGCUCCGGCCCUGCCGCGUGUGUGAAGAAGGUCUUCGGAUUGUAAAGCACUGUAAGUUGGGGAGCGGUACCAACAGAAUAAGCACCGGCUAACUUCGUGCCAGGAGCCGCGGUAAUUC